AUCUACAGAUGUACCACCCUGCAGGCACCUGAUCACGUCUGACCUCGUAAGCUAAGCAGGGCCUGGCCUGGUUAGUACUUGGAUGGGAGAAAGUACAUUCACCUGCUAAGGGCCUGGCACCUUGUUC
rnacentral:rRNA from 1 species